rnacentral:rRNA from 1 species
AUUGAACGCUGGCGGCAGGCCUAACACAUGCAAGUCGAGCGGAUGAAGGGAGCUUGCUCCUGGAUUCAGCGGCGGACGGGUGAGUAAUGCCUAGUAAUCUGCCUGGUAGUGGGGGAUAACGUCCGGAAACGGGCGCUAAUACCGCAUACGUCCUGAGGGAGAAAGUGGGGGAUCUUCGGACCUCACGCUAUCAUAUGAGCCUAGGUCGGAUUAGCUAGUUGGUGGGGUAAAGGCCUACCAAGGCGACGAUCCGUAACUGGUCUGAGAGGAUGAUCAGUCAUACUGGAACUGAGACACGGUCCAGACUCCUACGGGAGGAAGGAGUGGGGAAUAUUGGACAAUGGGCGAGAGCGUGAUCCAGCCAUGCCGCGUGUGUGAAGAAGGUCUUCGGAUUGUAAAGCACUUUAAGUUGGGAGGAAGGGCAGUAAGUUAAUACCUUGCUGUUUUGACGUUACCAACAGAAUAAGCACCGGCUAACUUCGUG